rnacentral:rRNA from 1 species
CCUUUCCGGAAAGGGGGCCUGCGGAAGGAUCAUUAC